rnacentral:sRNA from 1 species
AGAGCGAGCUGGUGAGGAGAGCUGGUUGCGUGAGUCUCCUCAGCUCUGCUUACCGGUGCGACUAGCGGCAGCGACGCGGCUAAAAGCGAAGGGGCGAGUGCGAGUCCCCUGAGCUGUACGAACGCGGUCGCCAUGGACCGCCCAGAUGAGGGGCCUCCGGCCAAGACCCGCCGCCUGAGCAGCUCCGAGUCUCCACAGCGCGACCCGCCCCCGCCGCCGCCGCCGCCGCCGCUCCUCCGACUGCCGCUGCCUCCACCCCAGCAGCGCCCGAGGCUCCAGGAGGAAACGGAGGCGGCACAGGUGCUGGCCGAUAUGAGGGGGGUGGGACUGGGCCCCGCGCUGCCCCCGCCGCCUCCCUAUGUCAUUCUCGAGGAGGGGGGGAUCCGCGCAUACUUCACGCUCGGUGCUGAGUGUCCCGGCUGGGAUUCUACCAUCGAGUCGGGGUAUGGGGAGGCGCCCCCGCCCACGGAGAGCCUGGAAGCACUCCCCACUCCUGAGGCCUCGGGGGGGAGCCUGGAAAUCGAUUUUCAGGUUGUACAGUCGAGCAGUUUUGGUGGAGAGGGGGCCCUAGAAACCUGUAGCGCAGUGGGGUGGGCGCCCCAGAGGUUAGUUGACCCGAAGAGCAAGGAAGAGGCGAUCAUCAUAGUGGAGGAUGAGGAUGAGGAUGAGCGGGAGAGUAUGAGGAGCAGCAGGAGGCGGCGGCGGCGGCGGAGGAGGAAGCAGAGGAAGGUGAAGAGGGAAAGCAGAGAGAGAAAUGCCGAGAGGAUGGAGAGCAUCUUGCAGGCACUGGAGGAUAUUCAGCUGGAUCUGGAGGCAGUGAACAUCAAGGCAGGCAAAGCCUUCCUGCGUCUCAAGCGCAAGUUCAUCCAGAUGCGAAGACCCUUCCUGGAGCGCAGAGACCUCAUCAUCCAGCAUAUCCCAGGCUUCUGGGUCAAAGCACUCCACUCAUCAGUUCCUCAACCACCCCAGAAUUUCAAUUUUGAUCAACCGACGUGAUGAAGACAUUUUCCGCUACUUGACCAAUCUGCAGGUCAGGCCAGAGAGACAUUUUUUAGUAGGAUCGGGCACGAAUCUGGUUCUUGGAGGUGACGGGAGGUGGGUGGGAAGGGCCGUGGUGUGUGUGGGGGGGGACAGAUUCCACCAUCACCCCCACCUGGAGCAGGUACAGGAUCUCAGACAUAUCUCCAUGGGCUACAAAAUGAAGCUGUACUUCCAGACUAACCCCUACUUCACAAACAUGGUGAUUGUCAAGGAGUUCCAGCGCAACCGCUCAGGCCGGCUGGUGUCUCACUCAACCCCAAUCCGCUGGCACCGGGGCCAGGAACCCCAGGCCCGUCGUCACGGGAACCAGGAUGCGAGCCACAGCUUCUUCAGCUGGUUCUCAAACCAUAGCCUCCCAGAGGCUGACAGGAUUGCUGAGAUUAUCAAGAAUGAUCUGUGGGUUAACCCUCUACGCUACUACCUGAGAGAAAGGGGCUCCAGGAUAAAGAGAAAGAAGCAAGAAAUGAAGAAACGGUAAUGGGAGUUUGGUUGCUGAGAGGUGGUUUGUUGGGGAUGGGGAAAAGACUAGUGUAACACAGGAUUUAUGGAGCCAAAAAGGGACCUUUGAGAUAAUCCCAGUGGAAUAUGUUUUACAAGUGGGAAAUCAUGCCCAGAAAUGGCUUGAGGUUACACAGUGAGGGGCAGAAGUGGGACUUUACCCACCCUAGCCCCAUCCCUGGGAUCCCUUAUAGCCUACUGCUUCCCCAGUUACUUCCCACCUUUGAGUGCUAUGAGUACACCACCUCCCACCAACCCUAUACUCAGCCACAGCCUUCCCUACAGUAAAACCAGGGGCAGAUGUGAGGUGGUGAUCAUGGAAGACGCCCCUGACUAUUAUGCAGUGGAAGACAUUUUCAGCGAAAUCUCAGACAUUGAUGAGACAAUUCAUGACAUCAAGAUCUCUGACUUCAUGGAGACCACCGACUACUUCGAGACCACUGACAACGAGAUAACUGACAUCAAUGAGAACAUCUGCGACAGCGAGAAUCCUGACCACAAUGAGGUCCCCAACAACGAGACCACUGAUAACAACGAGAGUGCUGAUGACCACGAAACCACUGACAACAAUGAGAGUGCAGAUGACAACAACGAGAAUCCUGAAGACAAUAACAAGAACACUGAUGACAACGAAGAGAACCCUAACAACAACGAGAACACUUACGGCAACAACUUCUUCAAAGGUGGCUUCUGGGGCAGCCAUGGCAACAACCAGGACAGCAGCGACAGUGACAAUGAAGCAGAUGAGGCCAGUGAUGAUGAAGAUAAUGAUGGCAACGAAGGUGACAAUGAGGGCAGUGAUGAUGAUGGCAAUGAAGGUGACAAUGAAGGCAGCGAUGAUGACGACAGAGACAUUGAGUACUAUGAGAAAGUUAUUGAAGACUUUGACAAGGAUCAGGCUGACUACGAGGACGUGAUAGAGAUCAUCUCAGACGAAUCAGUGGAAGAAGAGGGCAUUGAGGAAGGUGAGCUAAUCCCUCCCCACCCUUGUCUUCCCUCUUUUCUUUUCUCAGAGCAAGCCUGGCCAAGGACAGUGUAUCAAGGCAUGAACACAAUCUGCUUUUAUGG